UCUGACCAGCUACGCGCGUUCUGACUUGGUGCCCCGCAGCCCGGCUGCGCAGUGCGCACGUGCAGUAGGGGCAGCACGUGGGCAGGCUUCCUAGGGCGCGGGAGAGCUGCUGGGCGCCAGCUCCCGGAGUCCAGUGGCUUUGUGAGGAUUUCAGCCUUCAUUCUUCAACGAAAAGCUUCCACACACCAUCAGUGCCUUGCUAGUGUGCCAUACG